UACGGAGGGUGCAAACGUUGCUCGGAAUCAUUGGGCGUAAAGCGCACGUAGGCGGCCUGUUAAGUCGGGUGUGAAAUCCCUCGGCUCAACCGAGGAAGUGCAUUCGAAACUAGCAGGCUUGAGUAUGGAAGAGGGUCGUGGAAUUCCCGGUGUAGAGGUGAAAUGCGCAGAUAUCAGGAGGAACACCAAUUGCGAAGGCAGCUCGCUGGGACGUUACUGGCGCUGAGACGCGAAAGCGUGGGGAGCAAACAGG
rnacentral:rRNA from 1 species